rnacentral:rRNA from 1 species
UACGUAGGAUCCGAGCGUUGUCCGGAUUUACUGGGUGUAAAGGGUGCGCAGGCGGACUGGUAAGUCAGAGGUGAAAUCUCGUCGCUUAACGACGAAACUGCCUUUGAUACUAUCAGUCUUGAAUCCGGUAGAGAUCUGUGGAAUUCCGAGUGUAGCAGUGAAAUGUGUAGAUAUUCGGAAGAACACCAGUGGCGAAGGCAGCAGAUUAGGCCGGUAUUGACGCUCAGGCACGAAAAGCAUGGGGAUCAAACAGG